rnacentral:rRNA from 1 species
UCUGGCUCAGGACCAACGCUGGCGGCGUGCGUAACACAUGCAAGUCGAACGCGCGGGGGUGACCUCGCGAGUGGCGGACGGGUGAGUAACACGUGGAUAAUCUGUCCUGAUGGUGGGGGAUACCGUGCAGAAAUGGGCGUUAAUCCCGCAUACGUCCACUGGGUGUGAGCCUGGUGGGGAAAGCCUAGGUUCGCUUAGGCGCCGGAGGAGGAGUCCGCGGCCGAUUAGCUAGUUGGUGCGGUAAGAGCGCACCAAGGCGACGAUCGGUAGCUGGUCUGAGAGGAUGGUCAGCCACACUGGGAUUGAGAACGGCCCAGACUCCUACGGGGGGCAGCAGUGAGGAAUCUUCGGCAAUGGGGGCAACCCUGACCGAGCGACGCCGCGUGCAGGAUGACGGCCUUCGGGUUGUAAACUGCUUUUCUUGGGGACGAGUAGAUUUGGACGGUACCCGAGGAAGAAGCCUCGGCUAACUACGUGCCAGCAGCCGCGGUAAUACGUAGGAGGCGAGCGUUGUCCGGAGUUACUGGGCGUAAAGGGUGCGCAGGCGGCGUGCCAAGUGGGUGAUGAAAUCUCCUGGCUCAACUGGGAGGGUGUCAGCCAAACUGGUGCGCUUGAGGCUCGGCGGGGGGCGUGGAAUUCCGGGUGGAGCGGUGAAAUGCGUAGAGAUCCGGAGGAACACCGACGGCGCAGGCAGCGCCCUGGACGAGACCUGACGCUCAGGCACGAAAGCUGGGGGAGCAAACAGGAUUAGAUACCCUGGUAGUCCCAGCCCUAAACGAUGUCCACCAGGUGCCGCGGGUAUCGACCCCUGCGGUGCCGCAGCUUACGUGAUGAGUGGACCGCCUGGGGAGUACGGCCGCAGG